GAGCCUGUAGCGCAGCUUGGAUAGCGCAAACAGCUAAAACUGGCGUUACUGCCUCCUAAGCAGUAGGUCCUGGGUUCAAAUCCCAGCAGGCUCG
rnacentral:tRNA from 1 species